UUUCUUCAGCUUCUCAAUCUUCUUCUUCCCUCUUCCAACUUCGAAGCCGGCCGCCGCAUCUCUCUCUCUCGCCGCUCGGAUCUCUGCACAUCCGUCUUUCCUCGCCGGCGCCGCCGCGUGAAUCUAUCUCUCUCGCGCUUUCGUCAGCUCAUUUAGCUUGCCAAGCAUGGAGCCAAAUCCAGCAACUCCAAUAAGAAUCAAGAAGCGAAGUAUGACUGAAGUUGAUGGUGGGGAUUCUGAUAAUGAAUCUAAUGAACAAAAGAACAACACCACAAAUAUGGAGCAAUUCAAGUGUGAAAGGUAUGGUAUUCAAUCGGAGGAAACUGAGGUAAAACUUAAAAGGAAGUAAUUGUAGUUUGCUUGGUAAUUUCUUUAGCAUGAGGAGGUGUAGGGAUGCACUUUAUAGGAUGAUUAUUAUGGACAAAUUGCCUUUUCGAAUAGCAGAGUGUGAAGCGUUUCGAAAUUUUUUCCUUCUGUUACAGCCUAAACUUAUUAUACCUUCGAUAAAGACCGUGCUUAGGGAUUGUUUUCGACUUUAUUUGGAAGAGAUGAGAAAGUUGGAAAGAAUGUUGAUGGAGAAAGAGCAAAGGGUUUGUUUAACAAUGGAGACUUGGAUGUCAAUGCAAAGUUUGGAUUAUAUGGUUCUUACUGCACACUUCAUCGAUGAUGAUUGGAAAUUGCAUAAGAGAAUUCUAAACUUUUGUUUGAUCCCUGAUUGUAAAGGAGAUACCAUUGAGAAGACGGUUGAAAAAUGUCUAUUAGAAUUGGGGAUUGAGAUGGUAUUUACCGUGACGGUAGAUAAUGCAAGCUACAACAAUGGAGAUCUCACAUACUUAGAGGAGAAAAUAAGAAAUCAAAUGGGGUUCUAUUACAUGGUGAGUUUGCGCACAUUGUUAAUCUUAUGGCAUGUGAUGCUUUGAAGGAACUUCAUGAUUCAACUAUGAAGAUUCGUAAUGCUAUUGAGUAUCUAAAAUCAUCACAUGAAGCAUUAGAAACUUUCAAAAUUUUUGCAAGGGAAGGGAUGAAAACAUAACAUGCAAAAAUACUCUUUGUUUAGAUGUUCCUACAAGAUGGGAUUCCACAUACACUAUGUUGAACAAAGCUCUAAAAUUCCAAAAGGCUUUAGAAAUGUUAGAGGCUGAUGAAGAGUUCUGCUUGGAAUUUAUUGAAAAUGAGAUGAAAAAGGGCCCUCCCCACAGUGAAGAUUGGGACAAUGCUCAUGCUUUUGAAAUUCUUUCAUGACGUUACCUUGAGGGUUUCGAGAUCGUCAUCGAGUUAACAUCACAUAGAUUUGAUAUAUUAGAUUGGUGGAGAAUGAAUUCUUCAAAGUACAAAGUCCUAGCGAAAAUGGCGAAGGACAUAUUUGCGAUUCCGCUUUCAACUAAUGUCCUAAAAUAAGCUUUUAGCACAGGAGAUCGGGUGCUCGAUUUAUAUCAUAGCUCUUUAACUCGAAAGGCGUUUACGAAAUUGGUUUAGCCCACAAAAGAAUGUCACCACUGAAGAGCUUGAGCUUGAAGAAGAGAUGGAGGAUGGUAAUGAGUUUAUAUUUUGAAUGAUAGCUACAAGUGAAAGUUAUGGCUUGCAUAACAUGCACUAACUUGUUUUGUGUCUCUGACUUGUAGAAGGGAUCCAGUCAACAGGCAUAAUCUUAUAGGAAGAGAAUUAACUCAUGGCCAAUUAAUGAUUUCACAGACUAUUUUGAGAAUUUUGUUGGGUCAUGUAUGUAGAUAUUUGAUUACCAUUAUUAUUUUUAGGACCUUCAAUAGGUAAUCAUCAUCUUUUUGGCUGUGGUCUAUUUAGAUUUGUGAUAGCCUUUUGGACGUAGUUCAUUUGAAUUUGCUGUUAAAAUGUAUCUUCUCUUCAAGUUGGCAGUAACUUCAAUUUGGAUUGCUAUAAAGGGAUCCCAGCUUCAGUUCAGUGCAA